rnacentral:rRNA from 1 species
AUUGAACGCUGGCGGCAUGCCUUACACAUGCAAGUCGAACGGCAGCGCGGGGCAACCUGGCGGCGAGUGGCGAACGGGUGAGUAACAUAUCGGAACAUACCCUAGAGUGGGGGAUAACGUAGCGAAAGUUACGCUAAUACCGCAUACGCACUAAGGUGGAAAGUGGGGGAUUCGCAAGAACCUCAUGCUCAUGGAGUGGCCGAUAUCUGAUUAGCUAGUUGGUGAGGUAAAGGCUCACCAAGGCGACGAUCAGUAGCUGGUUUGAGAGAACGACCAGCCACACUGGAACUGAGACACGGUCCAGACUCCUACGGGAGGCAGCAGUGGGGGAAUAUUGGACAAUGGGCGAAAGCCUGAUCCAGCAAUGCCGCGUGAGUGAUGAAGGCCUUCGGGUUGGUU